ensembl:lncRNA
GAGGCUGUUAUAGCAGCAAAGGGGGGUCCAACUCCAUAUUAAAGCCUUCCCAGAAGAGUGGAGGCUGUUAUAGCAGCAAAGGGGGGACCAACUCCAUAUUAAAGCCUUCCCAGAAGAGUGGAGGCUGUUAUAGCAGCAAAGGGGGGACCAACUCCAUAUUAAUGACUUCCCAGAAGAGUGGAGGCUGUUAUAGCAGCAAAGGGGGACCAACUCCAUAUUAAUGCCUUCCCAGAAGAGUGGAGGCUGUUAUAGCAGCAAAGGGGGGGUCCAACUCCAUAUUAAUGCCUUCCCAGAAGAGUGGAGGCUGUUAUAGCAGCAAAGGGGGUCCAACUCCAUAUUAAUGACUUCCC